AUUGAACGCUGGCGGCAGGCCUAACACAUGCAAGUCGAACGGUAGCACAGAGAGCUUGCUCUCGGGUGACGAGUGGCGGACGGGUGAGUAACGUCUGGGAAACUGCCCGAUGGAGGGGGAUAACUACUGGAAACGGUAGCUAAUACCGCAUAACGUCGCAAGACCAAAGUGGGGGACCUUCGGGCCUCACACCAUCGGAUGUGCCCAGAUGGGAUUAGCUAGUAGGUGGGGUAAUGGCUCACCUAGGCGACGAUCCCUAGCUGGGCUGAGAGGAUGACCAGCCACACUGGAACUGAGACACGGUCCAGACUCCUACGGGAGGCAGCAGUGGGGAAUAUUGCACAAUGGGCGCAAGCCUGAUGCAGCCAUGCCGCGUGUAUGAAGAAGGCCUUCGGGUUGUAAAGUACCUUCAGCGGGGAGGAAGGCGGUGGAGUUAAUAACUUCACCGAUUGACGUUACCCGCAGAAGAAGCACCGGCUAACUCCGUGCCAGCCGCCGCGGUAA
rnacentral:rRNA from 1 species